rnacentral:rRNA from 1 species
GUAUAAGCAAUUAUACAGCGAAACUGCGAAUGGCUCAUUAAAUCAGUUAUCGUUUAUUUGAUAGUACCUUACUACUUGGAUAACCGUGGUAAUUCUAGAGCUAAUACAUGCUAAAAACCCCGACUCACGAAGGGGUGUAUUUAUUAGAUUAAAAACCAAUGCCCUUCGGGGCUCUUUGGUGAUUCAUAAUAACUUUUCGAAUCGCAUGGCCUUGCGCCGGCGAUGGUUCAUUCAAAUUUCUGCCCUAUCAACUUUCGAUGGCAGGGUCUUGGCCUGCCAUGGUUACAACGGGUAACGGAGGGUUAGGGCUCGACCCCGGAGAAGGAGCCUGAGAAACGGCUACUACAUCCAAGGAAGGCAGCAGGCGCGCAAAUUACCCAAUCCCGAUUCGGGGAGGUAGUGACAAUAAAUACUGAUACAGGGCUCUUUUGGGUCUUGUAAUUGGAAUGAGUACAAUUUAAAUCCCUUAACGAGGAACAAUUGGAGGGCAAGUCUGGUGCCAGCAGCCGCGGUAAUUCCAGCUCCAAUAGCGUAUAUUAAAGUUGUUGCAGUUAAAAAGCUCGUAGUUGAACCUUGGGCCUGGCUGGCCGGUCCGCCUCACCGCGUGCACUGGUUCGGCCGGGCCUUUCCCUCUGGGGAACCUCAUGGUCUUCACUGAUCGUGAUGGGGAACCAGGACUUUUACUGUGAAAAAAUUAGAGUGUUCAAAGCAGGCCUAUGCUCGAAUACAUUAGCAUGGAAUAAUAAAAUAGGACGUGUGGUUCUAUUUUGUUGGUUUCUAGGACCGCCGUAAUGAUUAAUAGGGACAGUCGGGGGCAUCAGUAUUCAAUUGUCAGAGGUGAAAUUCUUGGAUUUAUUGAAGACUAACUACUGCGAAAGCAUUUGCCAAGGAUGUUUUCAUUAAUCAGGAACGAAAGUUAGGGGAUCGAAGACGAUCAGAUACCGUCGUAGUCUUAACCAUAAACUAUGCCGACUAGGGAUCGGACGGUGUUACUUAUUGACCCGUUCGGCACCUUACGAGAAAUCAAAGUCUUUGGGUC